rnacentral:lncRNA from 1 species
UUUGUUUUUCAUGUGUAGAACUAGAGAUUUUCUCACAAAUAAAAGAAACCUUGCUUGCUGUAAUUGAUUCAGGUAAAUGGACUCUGAAGGGAUGCUCGAUUGGUACUCCUCCAAAAAAUUAACACUCGAAAAUGAUAUUACAGCGUACAUUAAAUUGGAGUCACAUUGUGUGGAUGCUAUUCUCUUUCAAUUUCGUACAUCAUCGAUGAUAAGUAGCAAGCACUAAAAAGCUACCAAAAUUUCCUCCACCCAUAUUAUUCAAUUGAAGCAUAACUCGGAUCAUAUAUAGUCAGUGUUUGGUAUGAACAUCGGCAGCUGAAGAAAAGCUUUGUUUUCAAACCAGCAACCAACUAAAUGCUCUAAGAAAAUGGGAUAGGAAUCCGAUAUUAUUGAAGUAAGUUUUGUUUUUCACAAAGUCUUGUGUUUUCACAUGGUCAAAAAAUUAAAUCUUUAUUAGCCUACUUAACAAACACAGUUAUCUACCUACUGUGUUGAAUUUUUAGUAUAGAAAUGAACUAAUUAACUAAUCAUAUAUUACAACAAAAUCAGAAUCAGUCUAUAAUUAUUGCUUUCCAGCAAUCCUAUACUAUAAUAUCUAUUCACCUGUUCCAUGCUAAAAAUGAUGAACAUUAAAAAGGGAACACACUUGGGACCCCAAAUUGCAGCAACCACCUCGUGUCUUAUAUUAUAUUUUUACAAUUGAACUUGAACAUUUUUGCACUCACGCGCUUCUUAAGACAGUGCAGGAGCAACGACAACAUCCCUAACUUUCCUCCUCUUGUGAACCACGUGCAUUCUGACGUAGAAGUUAAGAAAGAGCAUGAGAAGCGCGAGGUU